rnacentral:rRNA from 1 species
AAUGGGUCAGCGACUUAUAUUCUGUAGCAAGGUUAACCGAAUAGGGGAGCCGAAGGGAAACCGAGUCUUAACUGGGCGUUAAGUUGCAGGGUAUAGACCCGAAACCCGGUGAUCUAGCCAUGGGCAGGUUGAAGGUUGGGUAACACUAACUGGAGGACCGAACCGACUAAUGUUGAAAAAUUAGCGGAUGACUUGUGGCUGGGGGUGAAAGGCCAAUCAAACCGGGAGAUAGCUGGUUCUCCCCGAAAGCUAUUUAGGUAGCGCCUCGUGAAUUCAUCUCCGGGGGUAGAGCACUGUUUCGGCAAGGGGGUCAUCCCGACUUACCAACCCGAUGCAAACUGCGAAUACCGGAGAAUGUUAUCACGGGAGACACACGGCGGGUGCUAACGUCCGUCGUGAAGAGGGAAACAACCCAGACCGCCAGCUAAGGUCCCAAAGUCAUGGUUAAGUGGGAAACGAUGUGGGAAGGCCCAGACAGCCAGGAUGUUGGCUUAGAAGCAGCCAUCAUUUAAAGAAAGCGUAAUAGCUCACUGGUCGAGUCGGCCUGCGCGGAAGAUGUAACGGGGCUAAACCAUGCACCGAAGCUGCGGCAGCGACGCUUAUGCGUUGUUGGGUAGGGGAGCGUUCUGUAAGCCUGCGAAGGUGUGCUGUGAGGCAUGCUGGAGGUAUCAGAAGUGCGAAUGCUGACAUAAGUAACGAUAAAGCGGGUGAAAAGCCCGCUCGCCGGAAGACCAAGGGUUCCUGUCCAACGUUAAUCGGGGCAGGGUGAGUCGACCCCUAAGGCGAGGCCGAAAGGCGUAGUCGAUGGGAAACAGGUUAAUAUUCCUGUACUUGGUGUUACUGCGAAGGGGGGACGGAGAAGGCUAUGUUGGCCGGGCGACGGUUGUCCCGGUUUAAGCGUGUAGGCUGGUUUUCCAGGCAAAUCCGGAAAAUCAAGGCUGAGGCGUGAUGACGAGGCACUACGGUGCUGAAGCAACAAAUGCCCUGCUUCCAGGAAAAGCCUCUAAGCAUCAGGUAACAUCAAAUCGUACCCCAAACCGACACAGGUGGUCAGGUAGAGAAUACCAAGGCGCUUGAGAGAACUCGGGUGAAGGAACUAGGCAAAAUGGUGCCGUAACUUCGGGAGAAGG